CCAGCGCCGGCGUGCCGAGCAGCAGCGUCAGCGCCAUGAUUUUCCAGCCGUACACGUCCAUCCCCAGCAGCAGCGC
rnacentral:tRNA from 1 species